CCUACGGGUGGCAGCAGUGAGGAAUAUUGGUCAAUGGACGAAAGUCUGAACCAGCCAAGUAGCGUGAAGGAUGACUGCCCUAGGGGUUGUAAACUUCUUUUAUAAAGGAAUAAAACGAGGCACGUGUGCCUUUUCGCAUGUACUUUAUGAAUAAGGAUCGGCUAACUCCGUGCCAGCAGCCGCGGUAAUACGGAGGAUCCGAGCGUUAUCCGGAUUUGUUUGGUUUAAAGGGAGCGUAGGUGGGUUUUUUAGUCAGUUGGGAAAGUCUGGGGCUCAACCGGAAGAUUGCAAUUGAUACUGGCAGUCUUGAGUACAGUUGAGGUAAGCGGAAUUCGAGGUGGAGCGGUGAAAUGCGUAGAUAUCACGAAGAACCCCGAUUGCGAAGGCAGCUUACUAAACUGUGACUGACACUGAUGCACGAAAGUGUGGGUAGCAAACAGGAUUAGAUACCCGUGUAGUC
rnacentral:rRNA from 1 species